rnacentral:lncRNA from 1 species
AGGAAGACCACCAGGAUGUAGCCCACUUGAUGAAGUAGAUGGGUUUGAUUCUCAGGCAGGAUUACAUUGAGGACGUGAGGCGCUUCCACCAUGUUUGUAUCUGCACACCAAAAGCCAGGCCUGGCUGGUGAGAGCGCAGAGGGACAAAGUUUCAUGUCAGAAUGGCCAAAACAGGCGUAAUGAGUUCCAGACCUGAUGUCAUGCAGCAGCAAUGGAGAACAAGAAAAAACACUCAAACAAGCAGAAAGGGAAGCGAUAGUGCAGGCGGAGAGAAAUACCACCACUUCAUGGUCAGUCUGUCUGGAGACGCUUUUACAUUUAUUUAGCAGCCCACAACAACAGGGAAAAUUUAGAUUAAAUCUGCCCAAGUAAGUCAGUCACCAAACAAACUCACUUAAUGCUGCUGUUUGUGUGUUUUACAGCAUUGUGAAUAUAGCAUAUUGACAGAAAAUUACUUCUUUACCCCACA